UACGUAGGGGGCUAGCGUUGUCCGGAUUUAUUGGGCGUAAAGAGCGUGUAGGCGGCCAGGUAGGUCUGCUGUGAAAACUCGAGGCUCAACCUCGAGACGUCGGCGGAAACCAUCUGGCUAGAGUCCGGAAGAGGAGAGUGGAAUUCCUGGUGUAGCGGUGAAAUGCGCAGAUAUCAGGAAGAACACGCGUGGCGAAGGCGGCUCUCUGGGACGGUACUGACGCUGAGACGCGAAAGCGUGGGGAGCGAACAGG
rnacentral:rRNA from 1 species